rnacentral:rRNA from 1 species
AGCGGAGGAAAAGAAACCAACAGGGAUUGCCUUAGUAGCGGCGAGUGAAGCGGCAAAAGCUCAAAUUUGAAAUCUGGCUCUUUCAGAGUCCGAGUUGUAAUUUGAAGAAGGUAUCUUUGGGCCUGGCUCUUGUCUAUGUUUCUUGGAACAGAACGUCACAGAGGGUGAGAAUCCCGUGUGAUGAGAUGACCCAGGUCCGUGUAAAGUUCCUUCGACGAGUCGAGUUGUUUGGGAAUGCAGCUCUAAGUGGGUGGUAAAUUCCAUCUAAAGCUAAAUAUUGGCGAGAGACCGAUAGCGAACAAGUACAGUGAUGGAAAGAUGAAAAGAACUUUGAAAAGAGAGUGAAAAAGUACGUGAAAUUGUUGAAAGGGAAGGGCUUGAGAUCAGACUUGGCAUUUUGCAUGUUGCUUCUUCGGGGGCGGCCUCUGCGGUUUGUCGGGCCAGCAUCAGUUUGGGCGGCAGGACAAUCGCGCGGGAAUGUGGCACGGCCUCGGCUGUGUGUUAUAGCCCGCGUGGAUACUGCCAGCCUAGACUGAGGACUGCGGUUUAUACCUAGGAUGUUGGCAUAAUGAUCUUAAGUCGCCCGUCUU